GACUCCGGUGGUGGCACUCCUGACUUCUGUCAGGAACAGGGUUCGACUCCCUGCGGUGUC
rnacentral:snRNA from 1 species